rnacentral:lncRNA from 1 species
AUAUUAAAUCAUAACUUAGUUAAUAUUUAAUAGAGAUACGUUUCAUUUGUGAAUGAAAUAUUUUCCAUUUUAUACACAAGAAAAAUUAUGAUAAAUUAAAAAUUACAUUUUUAUUAAAUGAAAUUAAAGUACAAUUAUAAUAUUAGUAAUUCAAAUAAAAUUAGGUGUAAUUUGCAUCACUACAGUUAAUAAUAUAUCCCAACUAGGUUGACACCUACUGAACCAUCUAUCAUUUGCAAAUUUACAACCUUCUCACUAAUAAAAAUUGUUUCAAAAAGUUAUAAGAAAAAAAAAUCUCUAGUCUUUGGAAGUGGCUUCAAUGUUCAGUACUCUGCAUAAUCUGGAUCCACUUCAUCUUGAUCAACAUUCAAACUCUCAAUUUGUUUAAUUAAAGCAUUUUGUCAAUCUUGUUGCACUCGGCGUUCAGCAUCUUCCCAAUCUUUCAAACACAACAAAGAGUCUAAUGUCUCUGAUGACAAUCUUGACCGAUGUUCAUCUAGAAAUUAAUUAUUAUAAUGAUUAUUCGAGGAUUGUAUUUUUAAUUUUAAUUAAUUAUUAUUAUGAUCUAUGGAAUUAAAUUUAAUUAAAUUUAUGUAUUGUUGUGUUAUGAAUUAUGAUUGAUUAUUGUGAAAUAAAAUAUAUAGUUGUGAAAUUGUGAUAAACUAAUAAUAAAAUGUUAAUUGCUCUCUUAAUAAAAAUUAAUAUGAUUAUGAAUAUUAUUAUUAUUAUUAUUAUGUUGGUGGGCUUAAAAAAGCACAUCAGGCACGUGGGCUUAAAUAAAGCACGCUAGGCACGUGGGCUUUUUUAGGCAAGCUAAAAAAAAAAAAAGUUGGCACGGCACGAGAGGGCUCGUGCCGUGGGCCGUGCCGGGCUCAACUAAAAAAAAUUUAGGCACGGCACGGCACGGCACGGCCCAUUGGCCAUAGUUAGAAGUUCCCGCUCGAACCGAGAGGCACAGGUUCUCCCAACAAAUGCGACUUCCCUGCGACUCGAACUGGGGAGCAAACCCAAUCAAGCCACUUAAAGGGACUUCAUUGCCAGUGGAGGCCAACACUUUGUUGAUAGAUGAUUACAUAUUUUACAACAUGAGAUCUAGUAUAAAUUUAGAUGCACAUUUAAAUUUAGAAUUUACUCUCUUGAAAAUUUACUCUCACUAACAUCAAUCGAAGAAUAUCUAUCCAUAUUUCAUAGUAUGUGGAAGGGUAAAAUUACCCCAUACUAGUUGGAAUUGUUAAAUGCCUUCGUUAGAGAAUGCAUGCAGUAUCCACAUACUGUGAAACAUGAGAUCUAGUAUAAAUCUAGAUACAUAUUUAAGUUUAGAACUUAUUAUCUUGAAAAUUUAUUCUCACUAACAUCAAUUGAAGAAAAUCUAUCCAUAUUUCAUAGUAUGUGGAAGGGUAAAAAUGCCUCAUGCUCAUGGGAUUUAUUAAAUGCUUUCACUAGAGAAUAAUUAUAUAUAUAGGUCAUUUCUCUAUCCGCACGAAAUUGAAACGUGAAAUUUACUUUGAUUGUUGGUGAUCUAAUGUAUCUAAGGUUAAUUUAGCAAUAAGAGAGAGGGAAAAAAAAAGUAAAGAAUGAGAAAGUAUGCGUGUCCAAUUUAAAUACUUGGUAAUCUUAGGGGGAUUUAGUAUGAAGCACACUUCAAAAAUUCUUGAGAGCGAAUUCUAUCUAUUUAUUGACAUUUAUCCUUAUCCUGCCGGGAUAUAUAUAUAUAUACCAUGCCCAAUUGCCUUGAACAUUUUACGUUACAAUGAAGCUUGAAUUUUAUUAUGAAUCAUCAAAAAUAUUCCUAAAUAAUUUUUAUGAUAAAACAUAAUAAACACUGUGUAGUCAAAUCAAUGCAUUUAUCCACCGAGUCUAUAUGGUUUUCAUACCACCAUCAAAGAGUAAUGCCAUACAACUUCCAAGUGCUAUGUUAACCUUUAUAAUUUCAAAUGAAGUGAUAUUCAUGCAAUAAAUAAAUUUAUAAUAUGUGAUAUUGAUUAUUUUGAUAAAUGAAUGCGAUAUUAGGAUUUGGGAUGAUAAUAUUUAAAUACUACACUUAACGUUAAUUAGAGCCUCAGAGGUGUUGUAGGGUGCCAGAUUUGACCUCGACCGCAAACCGACAUCGUUCAUGGGCCUCAACUACGUCAGGUGGUCCAUAAUCCUCAGUUGGGCCUAAGCCAGUUGCUUGCUUCAGCCUAAGCUUUCUCAAACGAUUGCCCUAUCCUCACACUCGUUUUAAUCCCAAAAAAAAGGGAAUGUAAAUUUAUUUUAUUGUGGGAUAUUAUUAAAUAUUCAUCCAGUAUUUUUCCUACUUAUCAAUUUACUACUAUGAUUUUUGAAUAACUAUAUUUUAUCACUUGAUAUUUCAAUUUGUUAUAGCUUACCACCAAAUUGUUAAAAGAUUAUUUGUAUCCCUUGAACUAUUUAAAUGUGUGGAAAAAUAAUUUUCUCCUCUAAAAUUAAAAAAAAAAAAACAAACAAAACUGAGGGUCUUAGAAAAAAAAAUUAGAUGUAGUUGAACCGGAAGUCUCUAUGUAAAGGAACAAGAAAAUGUUUUUUUUUAUCGAAUUUCUAGGACAAAAAUUAUGGUUUCAAAGUCAUUUAGUUCAAUUCAAUCUGCAAUGAAAUGAACCGUUUUUAUUAUGUUUAAGAAAUCUUUGAACUAAUUGGAUCUUGUCCACCGAAUCAAACAGUUCACAAGAUCAAUAUAUAAGCUUUUUGACUCCUAACAUGGUUGAAGUAUUGAUAUUGACACAAAAUUAAUUGCAAUCUUCUCUUUUGUUGGAUACCCUAAUCAAUUAGUUCAAAAAAAUGAGUUUAUGGAUCAACUUUCAUAAGGUAUAUUUUGUAAACAUUUAAAUUUAAGUUUGUUUUAAGUAGAUUGCACAAUUUUGAUUUGUUUAACUUUCAUAUAUGUGGUUUCAACAUGAAGAACAUUUAGGCAAUGAAGAUUAUACUUUUAUUUAUUAAUUAAUACGUGUGAUUAUCAAUGUGAUAUCAUGCACUCUCUUUAAUUUUUUUUUAUUUUUAAUUAUUAGUGUUUGGUUAAUAGCUCACUUUGAGAGAUAAUAUAGGUAUUAUGGAUGUGAAAGUAGAGGGAUUAAGAAAUUGUUAUUGGGAGAGUGCUUAAUACGUAGCAGAAGAACUUUGAAAUUUCUUUUGUAAUUUGUAGUGAAUUUUUAUAUUAUUAUUGGACUAUAUUAUGUUAUUU